GACGAACGCUGGCGGCGCGCUUAACACAUGCAAGUCGAGCGAUGAAAGCCUUAUGAACUAUUCGUAGUGAUUGGGGCCGGAUUAGCGGCGGACGGGUGAGUAACGCGUGAGCAACCUGCCUUAAACAACGGGAUAGCCUCGGGAAACCGGGAUUAAUACCGUAUGAGACCCCGCCUUCACAUGAAGAAGAGGUUAAAGAUUUAUCGGUUUAAGAUGGGCUCGCGUCUGAUUAGCUAGUUGGUGAGAUAAAAGCCCACCAAGGCAACGAUCAGUAACCGGCUUGAGAGAGUGAACGGUCACAUUGGAACUGAGGCACGGUCCAAACUCCUACGGGAGGCAGCAGUGGGGAAUAUUGCACAAUGGGGGAAACCCUGAUGCAGCGACGCCGCGUGAGCGAUGAAGGAAUUCGUUUCGUAAAGCUCUGUCCAAGGGGAAGAUAAUGACAGUACCCUUGGAGGAAGCCCCGGCUAAAUACGUGCCAGCCGCCGCCGUAA
rnacentral:rRNA from 1 species